UUAACACAUGCAAGUCGAGGGGUAUAGGUAGCUUGCUAUUUAGAGACCGGCGCACGGGUGCGUAACGCGUAUGCAAUCUACCUUUUACAGUGGGAUAGCCCAGAGAAAUUUGGAUUAAUACCGCAUAGUAUUAUAGGAUGGCAUCAUUUUAUAAUUAAAGUCACAACGGUAAAAGAUGAGCAUGCGUCCCAUUAGUUAGUUGGUAAGGUAACGGCUUACCAAGACUUCGAUGGGUAGGGGUCCUGAGAGGGAGAUCCCCCACACUGGUACUGAGACACGGACCAGACUCCUACGGGAGGCAGCAGUGAGGAAUAUUGGACAAUGGAGGCAACUCUGAUCCAGCCAUGCCGCGUGCAGGAUGACGGUCCUAUGGAUUGUAAACUGCUUUUAUACAGGAAGAAACAUCCCGACGUGUCGGGACUUGACGGUACUGUAAGAAUAAGGAUCGGCUAACUCCGUGCCAGCAGCCGCGGUAAUACGGAGGAUCCAAGCGUUAUCCGGAAUCAUUGGGUUUAAAGGGUCCGUAGGCGGCCUUAUAAGUCAGUGGUGAAAUCUCCCCGCUCAACGGGGAAA
rnacentral:rRNA from 1 species